UCGAGUAGGGAGUCUGGCCUAGUGAAAGUCUCUGUUUCCUCCUUUUCUUACUUUUCACUCAAUAAAACCCUGCUUUACACACCCUUCAAACCAUCUGUGAGCCUGAAUUUUUACGGCCAUGGGACAGACAAGGAUCCUGUCUUUAUCUAAACUAAGGAAAAGUCCUGCAACAUUUGUGGUGCACAACGUGGGGCUCGAGAAGUGGAAAACGCCUAUUUUGGAGUGAAACCAGGGCCGCCUUAUGAGCUAAACAGAGUGUGUUACAGCUUCAAUAGACUAAACAAGCUCUAAAUUUAUCUUCCUAUGGUCACGGGAUCUCAUAUAUUCUGGCUGUCAUUGUCAUAAUAAGCCACUCUUGGUCAUAUGGAAAAGCAUUCAGCUGCUCCCUGCCUUUGCUCACAGCGUGUGGUACUCUCUUAGAAGCUAUUCCUGGAAUAUGAAUCUGGAAGGUUGAAGUGUUGUGUUGAGAAAAUAUUUGUGUAAUAUACAAGGAAACUGCAGAGAAGAGAAUAAUUUGCAACCCAUUCUUCUGAGGCCCAAAUUAACUCAAUACCAACACAACAUAAGGACACUAUAAGAAAACUUGAAGAAGAUGAAGUUUCUUCUUCAUUGAAAGAAAAUAAAGGUCACGUCUGUGAUCAUCGUUCGAGACCAAGUACCAAAGAAAACAGCAACAUCUGGCUGAAGGAGGCUUCUUCUGAGAUGGCAACAGGCAAC
rnacentral:lncRNA from 1 species